UACAGAGGGUGCAAGCGUUGUUCGGAAUUAUUGGGCGUAAAGCGCGUGUAGGCGGCAUGGCAAGUCGGGUGUGAAAGCCCUCAGCUUAACUGAGGAAGUGCGCCCGAAACUGCCGUGCUUGAGUGCCGGAGAGGGUGGCGGAAUUCCCCAAGUAGAGGUGAAAUUCGUAGAUAUGGGGAGGAACACCGGUGGGCGAAGGCGGCCGACCUGGACGGUAACUGACGCUGAGACGCGAAAGCGUGGGGAGCAAACAGG
rnacentral:rRNA from 1 species